CAUUUAUAUGAGGGAUUCUCAAGCUUUUUAAUAGUGUAGACCACUUCCUAUUGGAGAGAUUGUCCCCCGGAUCAACUCCUCUCAUAACAUCCCUGUGACAACUAGGUAAUUGUGAAAUGAAAAAGAAAUAUUAGGAAAGUAUUUAUACUGCAUCUGUCCUUUUUAAUGCUGUUUAGGAGCUGGAAACGAGGAGGAGCCAGCACCAUGUCACAAACCAAUUCAGCACAGCUUAGGACGGGUAGUCCCAAAAGUGAAUUUAAACCACUUAUGCAUUCCUCUGUUUCCAGGGCCACUUCAGCUCUGGACCAGUCCCAGGCAUAACACAGAUCAGCUUCGGGGCCAACAGUUUCCAAUGGGCUGUUCCAGCAGUUCUAGGAUGCUUGAGCUUCCAAGGUAGCAAGGGAAGGAGGAGAAUGAGGCCUCUUAGAGAAGGACCAGAUGCUGGAUAUCUCUGAGACAUGCUAGACCACUCAAGCAUCAGCUUCCUUCCUACGUGGAAUCUUAUGUGGAAAGAUAAGCUUGGAGUUUUAAACUUCAGAAUGUAAUUUGAAAAACUUGAUGUGGAAGUGAAGUAAUGAGUCAAUCUCAAGUGGUUUGGUGUUUGAAUUCACUUUUAGAUAAUAUCCAGAAGUCUGAACUAUUUGAACCUACAUGAGUCUGUAAAAUUAAGCUGAAAAUCUGUUUCUUACAAGACUUGUGGUAUUUACACUAUUGACCUGAAGUACACUAUCACCACAGCCACUUUUCUCAUGGGAUUUUGACACCUCCAGGUCCAAUAGCAACUGGAAAGCAGAAGUGAAAAAAUUACUAUCAUCCGGAUAUUUCAGAACUGCAACAAAUUAUUGAUUCCAGGUGUGCCUUGAAGGAGAUAGUGGGGUCUAACCUCACUCCAAGGUAGAAAGGAUUUCAGCCGUGGGCAAGUGGUAUCCAGUUCCAGAUUAUGUCAUGUUAUUUAUUGGCUUCAUGAUUCUAAAGAUGGAAGAGACUCACUUGUGUUUUGGCUGGAUUGGUGCACAAUUGGAUCUUGACGUAAUAGACUGAGAGCCCAGACAACACCGAUGUUAACAUAACCUCGAUCUGGGUGAGAACCUUGGCUUGGUCGUUGGCAUAGUUAAAACUUUUUGUGCUGAGAUGGAUUGGUUGAUCAUUCUUGUAAAUGUUGAAGAGUAUUGGUCAUAGGAGGAGCGUUCACAUCCUGGCUCCUACCAGAUCCUCUGAAUCUGAAUUCUGCUAAACACCUACCUCAUUGAUGAUGAUUUUAACUGAGAAGCCAGUGCUCAUAAUUUGGUUACUUCAUAAACAAUGUGACAGAUAAUAUUAUGAAAUUAUUCACAACACAGUGGUAAUGUGAAGUGGUAGAAAGUUCAUAUCUGGAUAUAAAAUACACUUUCUCACAGCUACUUAUAGGGAUUACCAUUAUUAAUUUGUGUUUUUCCAGGAUGAGUUUGCCUUUCCAAACUGCAUUUGAUGACUGUCAAAUUUUUCUUUUUCUCUGGAGAUAUAUAAAGGGUCAAAUAAGCUUUGGCAUAAAGUCACAUGAACAUUUAUGAAGUCAGCCAGCUUCUUUAAUACUGUUUAAUUAAACUUCUAAAUCCACUGUUUUGGACCGCUUGUAUCUGUGUCUGUCAUGAAUAUGUAAAAAAUCUAUGGCUGGCCUCAUGAUCAUCACUGUUGUACAAUACAAACUGCAGUCAUUUGAAAUUUCAUAGUGACCUAAGGGAUAGAACUUUGAUGGUCAGAAAGGACAGGCUUCUCCUACUUGAGCUAAAGCGUUAUGUCUGUUAGCAAUAUAGAGCCUGUCACAUAGAUGAUCAUUUCUGAUUUUAUCCAGUAGAUGGCAUUGAUAUACAUUCACAAUAGCGUGUUCAUUAUCCAUGACCAGUUCUAUCUUCUUGUUCUGAAAAUCCUAAAUGAGAGAAUACUGUGUUGUCUGUGGAUGGUAUAGUUUAUCAUAGUACUGAUAUCAGUCAACAUUAGUUAAAAUAUUGGCAAAGCCUACAAAGCAUUUUUCUUGAUUUGAGAUGAAAGAGUAAUAACAGUUAAGUAACUUAGUCUGCCUUAUUUUAUUCUUUACACCGCCACAUUUCUAGAGUCUUUUUAGCAGGAAGGAAUUAUUCAGGCGGCUUUCCAUCAUGGUGGAGUUGCAUGUUUCUUUCUGAGUAUAGCAUAGGAUCUGUAGUCUUCUGCUGGCUAUAACUUUCAAAGUACUGUUCCUGUUGGGCGAUGAACAUUCAAGGGGGAAAAAUUGAAAAACACUGGUUGAAACUAUCUGAAUACCCUUUUAGUCCAACAAUUUGCAAUACAUUUGUUAAUAUAUUCAGAUUUUCAUGUCAUUUCACUUACUUUUAGCUUCAACUUUCUGUUUUAUGUCUUUCAUUUGGUGCUUCUACCUUUUCCCCAACUUCCAUCUGUAUUCAAUUUGUCUCUUUUCUUACCUUCAUGCACACUGUAAAAAGAAUAGGUAGCAUUUUCUGUGAUAAAGUGAUGCUGCCUUAACAAGACAAA